UGAGGGAUAUUGGUCAAUGGGCGCAAGCCUGAACCAGCGACGCCGCGUGGGUGAAGAAGGUCUUCGGAUCGUAAAGCCCUUUUCCCACUGAAGAGGAAGGACGGUAGGUGGGGAAGAAGUCUCGGCUAACUACGUGCCAACAGCCGCGGUAAAACGUAGGAGGCGAGCGUUAUCCGGAUUUACUGGGCGUAAAGCGCGUGCAGGCGGAUUGGAGAGUUGGAUGUGAAAGCUCCCGGCUUAACUGGGAGAGGUCGUUCAAUACUUCCAGUCUUGAGUGCAGUAGAGGGAAGUGGAAUUCCGGGUGUAGUGGUGAAAUGCGUAGAUAUCCGGAGGAACACCAGUGGCGAAAGCGGCUUCCUGGACUGUAACUGACGCUCAGACGCGAAAGCUAGGGUAGCAAACG
rnacentral:rRNA from 1 species